rnacentral:lncRNA from 1 species
GAAUGAGGCAAGCCAAGCUGUGAGGAGUCUGUGGGUCAUGGCUUUGGCAGCGUGGAACCUGGGACAUAGAGUCCCCCUUGAUACGGCUGUUCAGCAGACCAACUUUGUUGUAAAUAUUUAGAUAAAAAUGGGCUUUAGAGCAGCCACAUCUGAAGACCCACAAGGCUGAAUGUUACACAGGGGGAGCACCAUUAUUUAAUCUGAACAUCUGGAAUCCAUCAUGUGUAGUGAAGGACAAGAUGUAUCCUCAUUUUUAAGCCAACUCCAUGAUAAAAUUGAUGGAUGGGACCAAUGUGUACAGGUGAAGAAGAUUGAUACUUAAGAUCUCAAUCAGAAUCUGAUUGAAGAUAAACUCAUCCUAUUUGGAUCAGAGCAUUAGAAGAAAGAAAGAACUGACACUUCUCAACCUUCUCUAGUUGAAGACUUCUCUU